rnacentral:tRNA from 1 species
GCCUAGGUGGCUCAGUGGUUGGGCGCCUGCCUUUGACUCAGGUUGUGAUCCCAGGAUCUGGGUUCAAGUCCCGCGUCGGGGUC